rnacentral:lncRNA from 10 species
CCUGGCUCAUAUCCAUGGCAGGUGGGGUUCCCGCUCUGUGCUUUGGAGACCCCCUGCCUCUGUCUCUGUACAGGGGAGCUUCUUCCUUUGUUCUUCCCACUUCUAUCUUGCCUACUAAACUCUGGGCUCCUUAAAACCGCUCCACGUAUGUCCGUGUCGUUUUGUCUAAGCUGGCAUGAGGACCAAGAACCUUGGUGUUCCUCCACUCAUCGGAGCCGUAUCAGUAAGUUUUUGUUGAAAGCCAGAUGCCAGGUAAAAGGAACUCAGUGCAUUCGAAGCAGUGCAGUGGGAAGGGAAGGUAGAGAGAAGCUCCACUACUGCUUUGCCAUGUGCCCUUGAGAAAGCUCUUAGACUCUGUGACACUGAACUUCAUUAUUAAUAAAACAAGGAUAUCAGAGGCUGUCAUAUUGUUUCCAUGAAGAUUUAAUAAAAUAUUAUGAAAUAUAAAAUAAUUUUCAUGAUACUGAGAGGUGAAGCCGACUCUCUGUAAAAUGGACCAAUCAGCUCUCUGUAAAACGGACAAAUCAGCUCUUUGUAAAAUGGACCAAUCAGCUCUCUGUAAAAUGGACCAAUCAGCAGGAUGUGGGUGGGGCCAGAUAAGGGAAUAAAAGGCCACCCGCGCCAGCAGCGGCAACGCGCUGGGGUCCCAUUCCGUGUUGUGGGGGUUUUUUUCUUUAGCUCUUCGCAAUAAAUCUUGCUGCUGCUCACUCUUUGGGUCCACGCCCCUUUAUGAGCUGUAACACUCACCGCGAAGGUCUGCAGCUUCACUCCUGAAGUCAGCAAGACCACAAACCCACCAGGAGGAAUGACCAACUCCGGACGGCCACCUUUAUGAACUGUAACACUCACCGCGAAGGUCUGCAGCUUCACUCCUGAAGUCAGGGAGACCACGAACCCACUAGGAGGAAGAAACUCGGGACUCGCCCGAACAUCGGAAGGAACAAACUCCAGACACACCAUCUUUUAAGAACUGUAACACUCACUGCGAGAGUUUGCGGCUUCAUUCUUGAAGUCAGCGAGAUCAAGAACCCACCAAUUCCGGACACAAUACCUUACAGACUCUGAAUGUUCAGUAUUACUUUAUUUCCUUCCAAUCAUAAAUGUUAAACUGAUAGAGAUUUCAAGUUCUAUAUGUUGAUAAGUUGCAUAAGAUAAUUUCGGCUUUAUGUUUUGACAUUAUUUUCAUGUAGGUAUUUUAUAGAUUAGCAUAAAAUAUUACGUAUUUUUAUAAUUUGAAAAGAUAUUGAAAACUGUGUUUUACUUUUUCUGGCUUUUAUUUUUAUUCUUGAACACCAUGGUCAAUUGCUUUUUUACUUUCAUUUCUCAACUUGUUUGGACAAAUUUUGCAAAGAUAUUCUUACCCUUGGCCUCUCCCGACAAAUUCCUCUCAUAAGUAAAUAUUAUCUUGAGAAUGUGUGGACUCUUAUGUAGAAAAAGAACAACAUAAACUCAAUGUUUAUUAAAAAACGUGAGAUUACAAAUGACUUUUUUAAAAAGGGAAUCAAAUUUCAUUUCAGGAAACUUACUAGAAAAAAAUUCUUAUGAACACCUAAACUAGUGUAAGUGUGUUAUUCUGUGAAAACAGUAAUUCCUUAUUUCAAAAAUAGUUUCUAAUAAAAGAACCUGGAUUAUAUAGCUACUCAAGUUGAACAGAUGAUCACAAAGAACCUUAACUGUAACCAUAUUUAGCUAUCAAAAAUAGAAAGGAAAUUUUGGUUAUAGUUCUCUGUCCCACAUUUAAUUUAAAAGAAUAAUGGCUAUUUGUUAUCAAAGUAUUUUAAUACAUUUCUUAUGUCUGCCCAUCUAAAAUGAAAACUUUUAUUUCCAUAAAGUUUUGUAUAACAUGUCUUAAAUGAAUGUGCAGUCAUAACUGCAUUCGGUUACUAAAGGAACUAAUAAUUCAUAAAUUGCAUUUAUUUGUAUGUUACUAACAUUAAAAAGAGAUGUUUUGUCAUGUUUAUAAUGAUCGUCAUGUAUAUAAUGAUAUAUGUUUAUAAUGAUGACAUCAUCGUCAUUGUAAGAUUAGCUAAACUCUUUGUCCUUCAGUAUAAAAAUUAAAGCCAGUAUAUUAUUUUUUGCAUUGUGUCUAUAUUGCUUUUCUCUGAAGUGUUUAAAGAAUGUUUCAUGAAUAUUUAUUACUGUUAAACAGAGAAAUCUUUUCAUUGUUUUCAUUUUUUGGAUCGUAUAGCUAUUUUAUGCUCCUGAAUUAUACUCAUUGGAUCACUCUUUCAUCUUUCCUUGUUAGGUACAUUCUCCAAACGCCUUAUUUAUCUGGUGAUGUUAUGCAGUUGAACUAUUCACUGGGAAAAUAAAUUUUAUGCUACUUUAUCU